AUAAUAGAUAAAAACGUUAAUAACACGUCUUGAUCAUUCGACUAGAGUUUCUUAUCAAAAUAACAUAAGUUACUGAGUUAUAGCGCAGUCUAUCUAUAAUCGUAAUAGAAACAAAAUAAUUUAAUAUAUGGCGCCUUUUAUCACAUGCCAACAAAUAAUUUAGUCAGGAGAGUUAAUAUGAAGAAAAUAAAAUACAAUAAGAGACUAAUUGGCCACAGAUUACUGUAGGAUUGUAUAGAUUGUCGUAUAACCAUCUCUAGUCUCUAGUCUCUCCCAGCCACUCCAAUAAGGUCCACCUGGAAGAGAUUUUAACUUUUUUCCCUUUUAAAAUUCGCCUUUCUCUUUUUUCUCCGCCUCUUCGCUUCGGUGCCUCCUCGCGAGGCUUAUCGUUUCGCGUCUUUUCCGACCGCCACUCGAAUUUUUCGGCGCCCCCGUUUUUUUAUUUUCACGAUUUUCAGAAUUCCGUAGAAUGGAAAACGACGCCAAAUAGAGGAGCGAGGCCUCCGCCGCGACGCGUUAUCGCGUUUACCGCGUUCCCGCCUUUUCGUCAUUAUCAGCGCGUCUGACGCCGGUACGUCGUCGUCCGCAUCAACGUCGUUUAUUUUUCGAUAUUUCGUUAUUAUUAUUAGUAGUAGUAAUAAUGACUGUAUUCGUUAAUUAAUGUAAUUUUGUAAAUUUUCUACUUCUAUUGCGAUUAUAUUAAUCGAAACUCGCGAUUGGUAAUUUUACAGCGAUUACGAUUAACGUAGUUUAUUAAUUGUCGAUAUUUUAACAGUCGUGGCGAUUGGGUUUUGUGAUUUUUAGAUGGCGUUUACUCCGGAGUACUGCUUCGAUGAUGGCUCCACCUGUAGGCCGAGAGUGCUGGCUCUAACAAUCUACAACGGAUUUAUUAAACGAGUAACGCGUUUUUAUUCGUUAAAAAAACACAAAAAAAACCUGUGCGUUUGACGUUUUCACAACUAUUACGGCGUUUGUGGCCUCCUGAGGUGGUAUGCUUCGAUAACGACUCGGCCUGUUGGCCCUAAGUGCUGGGGCUCUGAUCAACAACGCAUUUAUUACACGGACUGCUACACUGUUGUGCCAGGAUAUCUGAGCUGUAGAUUGUUGCCAGUCAUCGCUAUUGGAUUUCUGGCACAGAUAGUGUUUGUUGUGUCCGAAGGACUGCUUCAAUAACGGUUUAGUCCGUUAGCCAAGAGCGCUGUCUCUAACUUAUAACGGAUUUAUUACACAAACUGCUGGUGGCUUGGGUGGUAACAACAUUUUCACUUUUUUUUUUACCCACUGUGUGUUAAUCUUGCGUGUCGUUCAUUUUUGUUUAGCCGGUACUUAUCCCUCACUGUUGGAAGGAAACCAAAAAGAUACUAUCACAUUUCAUAUAUACUGCCAUUAUUUUGUUGUCCUCUCUGUGACAUCUAACUGCUGAACACAGCUUGGAAAACACCACUGUUGGCCUUUGGAGUUCAGCGAGAAAACGACUACAGACUUUUCCAUCGAUCAUACUUUAUAGUUAUUGUUAAAUUGUUUAAUUGGAAUAUUUUAACGUAUUGAUUGUUCUUAAGUGGAAAACAUCAAACUUCAUGUUUAUAAUUUUAAUUGUUUUGCAAGUUACAGAAUAAACUCGCCACGCUCAAUUAAUUAUAAUGUUACAUUUUAUUAUAUUUUUAAUUAAUUCGAGCUGUUGGUAUCUCUAAAAGAAAUACCACUAGAGUAUAAAACUAGGAUAUUUUUUAAAUCCCAACAAUAUAUUAAAUACUCCAGUAUUUCUUUUAUUUAUCGGUUUGAUAAUACGGCUUUAAUCAUUUCAUUUACAUUGAGUCUGUAAUUCUAGCAAGUAAUUUAAGGUUUUUAUAUUAUAUUGUAAAUAACAAAGUAGUUCAGUAG